GAUGAACGCUGGCGGCGUGCCUAAUACAUGCAAGUCGAGCGAACAGACGAGGAGCUUGCUCCUCUGACGUUAGCGGCGGACGGGUGAGUAACACGUGGAUAACCUACCUAUAAGACUGGGAUAACUUCGGGAAACCGGUGCUAAUACCGGAUAAUAUAUUGACCCGCAUGGUUCAAUAGUGAAAGACGGUUUUGCUGUCACUUAUAGAUGGAUCCGCGCCGCAUUAGCUAGUUGGUAAGGUAACGGCUUACCAAGGCGACGAUGCGUAGCCGACCUGAGAGGGUGAUCGGCCACACUGGAACUGAGACACGGUCCAGACUCCUACGGGAGGCAGCAGUAGGGAAUCUUCCGCAAUGGGCGAAAGCCUGACGGAGCAACGCCGCGUGAGUGAUGAAGGUCUUCGGAUCGUAAAACUCUGUUAUUAGGGAAGAACAAAUGUGUAAGUAACUAUGCACGUCUUGACGGUACCUAAUCAGAAAGCCACGGCUAACUACGUG
rnacentral:rRNA from 1 species